GUGGAGCAUGUGGCUUAAUUUGACUCAACGCGGGGAAUCUUACUAGGUCCGGACCGAGUCUAUGAACGUCGUACCGUUGGGUGCUACGUGAUUACUGGAUGAGUGGUGCAUGGCCGUUCUUAGUUCGUGGUGUUAAUUGUCUACUUAAUUGUUAUCGUUCCCGUAUCUCACGGUACGGAGCGCAUAACGAACGAGAUCGAGACCCGUGGUUUACGUCUUAGGUUAUUUGUGUACGACGUUUAAACUACGGGGAUCGCGUAAUACUCAACGGUACGAUCGAAAGACUCGGCAAUAACAGGUCUGUGAUGCCCUCAGAUGUUCUAGGCUGCACACGUGCUACAUUGUGAGUUGUAGUAUAUUGUGUAUGCGUAGAUAUGUCUAAGAUCCCCCGCAUCGAGUCAAUUACUCACGUGGUUGGACUCACCGAUUGUAAUAAUUAUUCGGUAUACUAA
rnacentral:rRNA from 1 species